CAUUUAUUUUUGGGGAGGAGUGUAUAUAUUUAAAUGUAUACAUUAUCAUAAAAAUCAGUGAUCAUUUGCUGCAUUGAUUCAGUAAUGUAGAGCUAGUGCCUUAUCAAUUUAAAUAGUUGAUAUACCACUGCAUCCAAAUGUCUUAAUUAAAAAAGGCACGUUAAAAACACCGCCUGCACUGAGUUGAAAUGCUUUUUAUUUCAAUUGUUUUACACAAAUACAGUAGAACCGCAUGAGGCUUUGUGUAACCAUGCAUCAAUACUAAAAUAUGGUGUAGCAGAAUCAAAGAGAGGAAUAUUGAUGUCUCCAUUAAUCAAAAA